CAGUCGCCGCGGGAAUACAGAGGGUGCAAGCGUUAAUCGGAAUUACUGGGCGUAAAGCGCGCGUAGGUGGUUUGUUAAGUUGGAUGUGAAAUCCCCGGGCUCAACCUGGGAACUGCAUUCAAGACUGACUGACUAGAGUAUGGUAGAGGGUGGUGGAAUUUCCUGUGUAGCGGUGAAAUGCGUAGAUAUAGGAAGGAACACCAGUGGCGAAGGCGACCACCUGGACUAAUACUGACACUGAGGUGCGAAAGCGUGGGGAGCAAACAGGAUUAGAUACCCGCGUAGUCCCUGUCUCUUAUAC
rnacentral:rRNA from 1 species